UAUCUACAAAUUAUGCUAAACACUAGCUAAUAAAAUACUUACAAUAACAAAUUUAAGUAACUUAAAAUUAAUUAUAAUUUGAUUUUUCAAUUUUAACAUCGACUACUGAAAUCGAUUGUAAACGUUCCUGUAUCAAAAAAAGUCGGCGGAGGUCGAGAGUUGGUGAUGGCGGCAGCCACUUUCAGAUAUUUGGUGCAGCUACACAGAGACGUUCCCAAAGCGGCGAGAUUUUAUUCGGAGGGCCUUGGCUUCACCAUUGAUGUCUGCACUCUCCGUUGGGCCGAGCUCCAUUCCGGCCCGCUCAAGCUCUCCCUCCUCCAUUCUCCCAGCAACUGUGUUGAACAGAAGGGUUAUUCGUCGCUCCUAUCCUUCACAGUAACAGACAUCAAUAGUACUGUGACGAAGUUGAUGACCUUAGGUGCCGAACUGGAUGGCCCAAUCAAGCAUGAAAUCCAUGGAAAAGUGGCAGCGAUGAAGUGUGCUGAUGGGCAUGUGUUAGGUCUGUACGAGCCUGCUUAGAAGCUCAAAAAAUGAGUAUUGCAACGGUAAUGACAAAUUGAUGGAACAAAAUGUAUCUUUCUGGUGCAUACCCAGUUGUGAUUGCAGUUUGAAGGAAGGUUUUUCAUGAGAUGCUCGAUGGCAUAGAAGUAAGGCUUUCUCCCACUGUCGACGACGCUCCUGAUAUAAUUUUGUAGUGGUAGUGCAAGUUGGCCACCUUUUGGCAUGAGAAUAAAUCUGAUGGUGACCGAUCCUAGCCCGUAAGCAAUGCCAAACAUGUGUAUAUCACCAAUCUUUUCAAGAUCCAUCUAUAUAUCUUGCAGGAUCUCUCUUCCACCAUCUUUCUGCACGUCAUUUCAGCAAAUUUGCAUGCCAACAGGCCGCGUCACUUGCUUUCUUCGCGCAUUAUAGCUUCCGUCUUUGUCUUGUAUCAUUAUUGAGUGCAAAUGGGUCGAGCACAGACGACAAAAACCAGGUACCCAAUUCGUCCUUUUACUCUAGGGCUGCCAAGAUGAGUUAGGAUAAUAUAUUUUGGGAAAUAUAAAGAUAUUCUUGAGUUAGAAAAGUAAUGGAAUGGAAUGGAAAUAAGAGACUUGGUUGACUAUGGCCAAAACCCAAAGCCCAAAGGCAGUGCUCUCUACACAUGGCUGUUGGUAUGUUAAAGUGGCUACUCAUGCUUGUCACUGUGCUGCCACAGAUCUUAUGUGAUAGCUACCAAUAUCACUAGUACAUGUUGUCGGGUUUCUCUUUCCCAUCUUGCUUCAUUCCCGCACGUUUUUAUUUAUCUAUACUUUCAGCGCGAUGCACGUUUGUUGUAGCUAUACUUGCAAAAUAUCAUUUGUGGUCCCUAAACUGUAUCUUUUGUAGCUAUACUUGCAAAAUAUCAUUUGUGGUCCCUAAACUGUAUCUUUUGCUCGUUUCAAGUGCUUUUUUUUACCAUUC